rnacentral:rRNA from 1 species
GACGAACGCUGGCGGCGAGCUUAACACAUGCAAGUCGAACGGAAAGGCCCUGCUUUUGUGGGGUGCUCGAGUGGCGAACGGGUGAGUAACACGUGAGUAACCUGCCCUUGACUUUGGGAUAACUUCAGGAAACUGGGGCUAAUACCGGAUAGGAGCUCCUGCUGCAUGGUGGGGGUUGGAAAGUUUCGGCGGUUGGGGAUGGACUCGCGGCUUAUCAGCUUGUUGGUGGGGUAGUGGCUUACCAAGGCUUUGACGGGUAGCCGGCCUGAGAGGGUGACCGGCCACAUUGGGACUGAGAUACGGCCCAGACUCCUACGGGAGGCAGCAGUGGGGAAUAUUGCACAAUGGGCGGAAGCCUGAUGCAGCAACGCCGCGUGCGGGAUGACGGCCUUCGGGUUGUAAACCGCUUUCGCCUGUGACGAAGCGUGAGUGACGGUAAUGGGUAAAGAAGCACCGGCUAACUACGUGCCAGCAGCCGCGGUGAUACGUAGGGUGCGAGCGUUGUCCGGAUUUAUUGGGCGUAAAGGGCUCGUAGGUGGUUGAUCGCGUCGGAAGUGUAAUCUUGGGGCUUAACCCUGAGCGUGCUUUCGAUACGGGUUGACUUGAGGAAGGUAGGGGAGAAUGGAAUUCCUGGUGGAGCGGUGGAAUGCGCAGAUAUCAGGAGGAACACCAGUGGCGAAGGCGGUUCUCUGGGCCUUUCCUGACGCUGAGGAGCGAAAGCGUGGGGAGCGAACAGGCUUAGAUACCCUGGUAGUCCACGCUGUAAACGGUGGGUACUAGGUGUGGGGUCCAUUCCACGGGUUCCGUGCCGUAGCUAACGCUUUAAGUACCCCGCCUGGGGAGUACGGCCGCAAGGCUAAAACUCAAAGGAAUUGACGGGGCCCCGCACAAGCGGCGGAGCAUGCGGAUUAAUUCGAUGCAACGCGUAGAACCUUACCUGGGUUUGACAUGGAUCGGGAGUGCUCAGAGAUGGGUGUGCCUCUUUUGGGGUCGGUUCACAGGUGGUGCAUGGCUGUCGUCAGCUCGUGUCGUGAGAUGUUGGGUUAAGUCCCGCAACGAGCGCAACCCUUGUUCACUGUUGCCAGCACGUUAUGGUGGGGACUCAGUGGAGACCGCCGGGGUCAACUCGGAGGAAGGUGGGGAUGACGUCAAGUCAUCAUGCCCCUUAUGUCCAGGGCUUCACGCAUGCUACAAUGGCUGGUACAGAGGGUGGCGAGCCUGUGAGGGUGAGCGAAUCUCGGAAAGCCGGUCUCAGUUCGGAUUGGGGUCUGCAACUCGACCUCAUGAAGUCGGAGUCGCUAGUAAUCGCAGAUCAGCAACGCUGCGGUGAAUACGUUCCCGGG